rnacentral:rRNA from 1 species
UACGUAGGGUGCGAGCGUUGUCCGGAAUUAUUGGGCGUAAAGAGCGUGUAGGCGGCUUUGCAAGUCCGUUGUGAAAACUCGAGGCUCAACCUCGAGACGCCGGUGGAAACUGCAAAGCUAGAGUCCGGAAGAGGAGAGUGGAAUUCCUGGUGUAGCGGUGAAAUGCGCAGAUAUCAGGAAGAACACCCGUGGCGAAGGCGGUUCUCUGGGACGGUACUGACGCUGAGGCGCGAAAGCGUGGGGAGCAAACAGG